rnacentral:rRNA from 1 species
CGGCGAAUGGGUGAGUAACACGUGCUUAAUCUACCUUUUAGAUUGGAAUACCCAUUGGAAACAAUGGCUAAUGCCGGAUACGCAUGGAACCGCAUGGUUCCGUUGUGAAAGGCGCUGUAAGGCGCCACUAAAAGAUGAGGGUGCGGAACAUUAGUUAGUUGGUGAGGUAAUGGCCCACCAAGACUAUGAUGUUUAGCCGGGUCGAGAGACUGAACGGCCACAUUGGGACUGAGAUACGGCCCAAACUCCUACGGGAGGCAGCAGGC